ACAGGGGCAUUUAGAGCAGAACAGGUCUUAUACAGGGGCAUUUAGAGCAGAACAGGUCUUAUACCGGGGCAUUUAGGGCAGAACAGGUCUUAUACCGGGGCAUUUAGAGCAGAACAGGUCUUAUACCGGGGCAUUUAGAGCAGAACAGGUGUUAUACAGGGGCAUUUAGAGCAGAACAGGUCUUAUACCGGGGCAUUUAGAGCAGAACAGGUGUUCUACAGGGGCAUUUAGAGCAGAACAGGUGUUCUACAGGGGCAUUUAGAGCAGAACAGGUCUUAUACCGGGGCAUUUAGGGCAGAACAGGUGUUCUACAGGGGCAUUUAGAGCAGAACAGGUGUUCUACAGGGGCAUUUAGAGCAGAACAGGUGUUC
ensembl:lncRNA